rnacentral:rRNA from 1 species
AUUGAGCGCUGGCGGCAUGCCUUACACAUGCAAGUCGAACGGUAACAGGUCUUCGGAUGCUGACGAGUGGCGAACGGGUGAGUAAUACAUCGGAACGUGCCUAGUAGUGGGGGAUAACUACUCGAAAGAGUGGCUAAUACCGCAUGAGAUCUACGGAUGAAAGCAGGGGAUCGCAAGACCUUGCGCUACUAGAGCGGCCGAUGGCAGAUUAGGUAGUUGGUGGGAUAAAAGCUUACCAAGCCGACGAUCUGUAGCUGGUCUGAGAGGACGAUCAGCCACACUGGGACUGAGACACGGCCCAGACUCCUACGGGAGGCAGCAGUGGGGAAUUUUGGACAAUGGGCGCAAGCCUGAUCCAGCAAUGCCGCGUGCAGGAUGAAGGCCUUCGGGUUGUAAACUGCUUUUGUACGGAACGAAAAGCCCUGGGUUAAUACCCUGGGGUCAUGACGGUACCGUAAGAACAAGCACCGGCUAACUACGUGCCAGCCGCCGCGGUAACAC